AGAGUUUGAUCAUGGCUCAGAACGAACGCUGGCGGCAUGCCUAACACAUGCAAGUCGACGAAGCCUUCGGGCUUAGUGGCGCACGGGUGCGUAACACGUGGGAAUCUGCCCUUUGGUCGGAAUAACAGUUAGAAAUGACUGCUAAUACCGGAUAAUGACGCAAGUCCAAAGAUUUAUCGCCGAAGGAUGAGCCCGCGUAGGAUUAGGUAGUUGGUGGGGUAAUGGCCCACCAAGCCGACGAUCCUUAGCUGGUCUGAGAGGAUGAUCAGCCACACUGGGACUGAGACACGGCCCAGACUCCUACGGGAGGCAGCAGUGGGGAAUAUUGGACAAUGGGCGAAAGCCUGAUCCAGCAAUGCCGCGUGAGUGAUGAAGGCCUUAGGGUUGUAAAGCUCUUUUACCAGGGAUGAUAAUGACAGUACCUGGAGAAUAAGCUCCGGCUAACUCCGUG
rnacentral:rRNA from 1 species